UCUGGGGAAGCUCUGAAGUGGAGCACCUGGCUCGGGUCCAGGAGGUCGCUGGUGCAAGUCCAGCCCCCAGACUCA
rnacentral:tRNA from 1 species